rnacentral:rRNA from 1 species
CCUACGGGGGGCAGCAGUGGGGAAUAUUGGACAAUGGGGGCAACCCUGAUCCAGCCAUGCCGCGUGUGUGAAGAAGGCCCUCGGGUUGUAAAGCACUUUCAGUGAGGAAGAACGCCUGGUGGUUAAUACCCAUCAGGAAAGACAUCACUCACAGAAGAAGCACCGGCUAACUCCGUGCCAGCAGCCGCGGUAAUACGGAGGGUGCGAGCGUUAAUCGGAAUUACUGGGCGUAAAGCGCGCGUAGGUGGCUUGAUAAGCCGGUUGUGAAAGCCCCGGGCUCGACCUGGGAACGGCAUCCGGAACUGUCAAGCUAGAGUGAAGGAGAGGAAGGUAGAAUUCCCGGUGUAGCGGUGAAAUGCGUAGAGAUCGGGAGGAAUACCAGUGGCGAAGGCGGCCUUCUGGACUGACACUGACACUGAGGUGCGAAAGCGUGGGUAGCAAACAGGAUUAGAUACCCUAGUAGUC